rnacentral:rRNA from 1 species
CCUACGGGAGGCAGCAGUGGGGAAUAUUGCACAAUGGGCGCAAGCCUGAUGCAGCGACGCCGCGUGGGGGAUGACGGCCUUCGGGUUGUAAACUCCUUUCGCCAGGGACGAAGCGUUUUGUGACGGUACCUGGAGAAGAAGCACCGGCUAACUACGUGCCAGCAGCCGCGGUAAU